rnacentral:rRNA from 1 species
UACAGAGGUCCCAAGCGUUGUUCGGAUUCAUUGGGCGUAAAGGGUGCGUAGGUGGCGCGCUAAGUCAGGUGUGAAAUUUCGGAGCUUAACUCCGAAACUGCAUUUGAUACUGGCGUGCUUGAGGACUGGAGAGGAGACUGGAAUUUACGGUGUAGCAGUGAAAUGCGUAGAUAUGCGGAGGAACACCGAUGGCGAAGGCAAUCCCCUGGGCCUGCACUGACGCUCAUGCACGAAAGCGUGGGGAGCAAACAGG